AAGCACUGUUUAUAUGACAAUAAAAUGACGGUUUUGCUCUCGAGCUGUGUAUCUGGAGAGGAAAAGGCCCGAGUUCUCUAUUGUGUUCUAGAAGCCUACAUUGAGUGUAGCCAGAUACAAACACUUCGUUCUAUUUUCGGUUUUGUUCUCGGAUACAGACGCGGCCUGAAGAGAAGUUCUCCAGUUAUGGUAUUGAAGUUGUAAACGUUUGGUUUAAUCAUAAGUCGCUGGGGUAGGAAGAAGAAGAGAGGUCCAAGAUUUUCGUGAACUUUCGGAGCAAGGUUUGGGUUUAUUUCGGAAAAGGUUGCUGCUAGACUUUUGAUCGGGUUUGGGAGGAAGCUUUCAAUAGUGCUCAAUUUCCUUAGAUGUGGAUUGCUUUGGCUUAUAGUCUCACAAAAGAUUGAUGCUUUGCCUUUAUGGGUGUUAACCUGAAGGUGGAUUAGCUUUUGGUUGGCUUGGAGGAGCAGUGCAUCUCCCUUGCAUGUCCACUACCCUUCGAAUUGUAUUGCUCUCUGCUUUAUCUAGCGAUUGCAGCAUUCUUGAUUUGGAACUGUUCCGUAUGGUGACAUGCUAAUGAGGCUGUGCUGUUGUGUAAUUAUGAUUUGAGUUUCAUAUCAGAAUCUAAUAUCUGUGGUGUCAAUGCUUCGUUGCUUUUAUUGUAUUCUUAUGAAGUGUUUGAUUUUGUGGUUGUGAUGAAUCACAGGGAGGAGUUCUGCAAGACCUUCAAACUGGAGUCUCCUGAUGCAGACACAUGUUAAGAGAUCAAAACUUCCUUUAGAUGGAGCUGACUUUGUGAUGGAAGAUGUCCCAUUAUUGACAAAUCUUCUCCAAUAUCAUGAUGCUAAGGUUUUGGAGCAUGCUUCUGUAUGUCUGACCCGAAUUGCUGAAUCAUUUAGCCAAUAUUUUUUUUUCCUUAUGUUAUUUUUGUUAAAAGAAAAAGUGGUUUGUAUAUUUUUAUAGUAGAAUUAAGGGUUAGAAUGAUGCAACUGUAAAAAUAAGAAAGAAGAAGAAGAAUGAAGCAACUUUGAUAUCCCUCCUGAUAUCGAAGUGAAAAUAUGAAUUAGGAUUAAUGUU